GACGUAGGUGGCAAGCGUUGUCCGGAUUUACUGGGCGUAAAGCGUGCGCAGGCGGUGAUGUAAUACCGAUGUGAAAUCCCCGGGCUUAACCUGGGAACUGCAUUGGUGACUGCAUUGCUGGAGUAUGGCAGAGGGGGGUGGAAUUCCACGUGUAGCAGUGAAAUGCGUAGAGAUGUGGAGGAACACCGAUGGCGAAGGCAGCCCCCUGGGCCAAUACUGACGCUCAUGCACGAAAGCGUGGGGAGCAAACAGG
rnacentral:rRNA from 1 species